AACCAGAAACACCUGCAAAAAGUUUAAGGAUGGACACGUGUGGAGCAAAAAGAAGGAUGGAAAGACUAUUCAGGAAUCUCAUGUCAACCUCAAGGCCCAAAGAAGAAACACCCUGAAGAAAUCCAGAUGCAGCAAAGGGAGAAAGUGGACUUGGGAUGUACAUGUCAGCAGCUCUAAAUAAUGACAAACGGCCUAAGACUGGGAUGGAAAUAGAAGCGGUUAUGAGAAUUAAAAUGGGAGUGGGAGAGCAUUGCCGUGUAGAAAGAAUCAUGUAGAAAAAUUUGUAUUGAGAGUUUAUUUUUGUGGGGAGUACUGGCCUCUCAUAUUAGCCAGCUUAGUAUUUUCAUCUU